UACGAAGGGGGCUAGCGUUGCUCGGAAUCACUGGGCGUAAAGCGCACGUAGGCGGAUUGUUAAGUCGGGGGUGAAAUCCUGGAGCUCAACUCCAGAACUGCCUUCGAUACUGGCGACCUUGAGUCCGGAAGAGGAGAGUGGAAUUCCUGGUGUAGCGGUGAAAUGCGCAGAUAUCAGGAAGAACACCCGUGGCGAAGGCGGCUCUCUGGGACGGUACUGACGCUGAGACGCGAAAGCGUGGGGAGCGAACAGG
rnacentral:rRNA from 1 species